GAUGCUUCUCAGCCAUUUGUCUAAGAUAAAGUGUAGUAUUCUGUUCUUAUCAGUUUAAUAUCUGAUAAAUCCUCUAUUCGACGACAAUAUAUUAAAUGAAUUUUUGGAGCAGGGAGUUGGAAUCGGAGCUGGCUCCUUCCACUCAACACAUUCACCUGGUAUUGCAGUACCUCCAGGAACGGUUCACCUCCC